AAGUAUAAGGCGCUAGAUUAAAAAGGGGGCGGGAUUCCAAUUUUCCAAUUCUUUGAUAUUGAAAUUUCUUUCAACUUUUCCCUCAAAAAAUUCUUCACCCUAACUCAGACUAAUAUCGCAAAUGUCGAUACCCACCAUUGCUUCCCCAUCUUCUCCUCUGAAUUGAACGAGAAGAGAAAAAAUUGGCGAUCUCCUCUAUUGCAAAUUCAAGCAAUCGCAAUUGAACGUUUUUCACUAGAAGGUGCUCGACAAUGGCAGUUACUUGAUCGUCUUCCUCCCAAACCCCCCUUUGAGAUUAAACAUCACGAGGUUGCAAUUGUAAAGGUCAACAAUCUACCUUCUUCUAGGGUCAACCUGAAGGAAUACCUGGACCGAGUUUUUUUCUAUGAUGCAGUGAUGAAUGAGGAAGCUUCAAAUGAUAAGGGACUUCGGUUGAAAAAAUUAAGCCAAGUGAAUGACAUCUUUAUUUACUUUAUUUUGUUAGAUGAAUAAACAUUUGAUUAGUUAUUUAUUUGUAUGUUUUGUAUUUGUUAAGUUUAGAAACUUGCUAAUGCAAGAGGAUGUAAUGUAUGAAUUAUUUUUGAAAUAAUAGAAUUUCAAUAUCAAUAUUUGUUCCUUAA